UAGGGAAUCUUCCACAAUGGACGCAAGUCUGAUGGAGCAACGCCGCGUGAGUGAAGAAGGUUUUCGGACCGUAAAGCUCUGUUGUUGGUGAAGAAGGAUAGAGGUAGUAACUGGCCUUUAUUUGACGGUAAUCAACCAGAAAGUCACGGCUAACUACGUGCCAGCAGCCGCGGUAAUACGUAGGUGGCAAGCGUUGUCCGGAUUUAUUGGGCGUAAAGCGAGCGCAGGCGGAAGAAUAAGUCUGAUGUGAAGGCCCUCGGCUUAACCGAGGAAUUGCAUCGGAAACUGU
rnacentral:rRNA from 1 species